UACAGAGGGUGCAAGCGUUAAUCGGAAUUACUGGGCGUAAAGCGCGCGCAGGCGGUUUGUUAAGUUGGAUGUGGAAGCCCCGGGCUCAACCUUGGAACUGCAUCCAAAACUGGCAAGCUAGAGUACGGUAGAGGGAGGUGGAAUUUCCUGUGUAGCGGUGAAAUGCGUAGAUAUAGGAAGGAACACCUGUGGCGAAGGCGACCACCUGGACUGAUACUGACACUGAGGUGCGAAAGCGUCGGGAGCAAACAGA
rnacentral:misc_RNA from 1 species